GGAUUGUGGCUCAGUGGUAGAGCACUUGGCUAGCAUGAGUGAGGCACUGGGUUCAAUCCCCAGCACCA
rnacentral:tRNA from 1 species